UACGGGAGGCAGCAGUGGGGAAUAUUACACAAUGGGCGCAAGCCUGAUGCAGCCAUGCCGCGUGUAUGAAGAAGGCCUUCGGGUUGUAAAGUACUUUCAGUCGUGAGGAAGGUGUUAAGGUUAAUAACCUUAGCAAUUGACGUUAGCGACAGAAGAAGCACCGGCUAACUCCGUGCCAGCAGCCGCGGUAAUACGGAGGGUGCGAGCGUUAAUCGGAAUUACUGGGCGUAAAGGGCACGCAGGCGGUUAAUUAAGUUGGAUGUGAAAUCCCCGGGCUUAACCUGGGAAUGGCAUUCAAGACUGGUUAGCUAGAGUCUUGUAGAGGGGGGUAGAAUUCCAUGUGUAGCGGUGAAAUGCGUAGAGAUGUGGAGGAAUACCGGUGGCGAAGGCGGCCCCUGGACAAAGACUGACGCUCAUGUGCGAAAGCGUGGGGAGCAAACAGGGAUUAGAUACC
rnacentral:rRNA from 1 species